UACGAAGGGGGCUAGCGUUGCUCGGAAUCACUGGGCGUAAAGGGUGCGUAGGCGGGUCUUUAAGUCAGGGGUGAAAUCCUGGAGCUCAACUCCAGAACUACCUUUGAUACUGAAGAUCUUGAGUUCGGGAGAGGCGAGUGGAACUGCGAGUGUAGAGGUGAAAUUCGUAGAUAUUCGCAAGAACACCAGUGGCGAAGGCGGCUCACUGGCCCGAUACUGACGCUGAGGCACGAAAGCGUGGGGAGCAAACAGG
rnacentral:rRNA from 1 species